GGACUACUAGGGUUUCUAAUCCUGUUUGCUCCCCACGCUUUCGCACCUCAGCGUCAGUACCGGGCCAGUGAGCCGCCUUCGCCACUGGUGUUCUUGCGAAUAUCUACGAAUUUCACCUCUACACUCGCAGUUCCACUCACCUCUCCCGGACUCAAGCUCUCCAGUAUCGAAGGCAGUUCUGGAGUUGAGCUCCAGGAUUUCACCCCCGACUUAGAAAGCCGCCUACGUGCGCUUUACGCCCAGUAAUUCCGAGCAACGCUAGCCCCCUUCGUAUUACCGCGGCUGCUGGCAC
rnacentral:rRNA from 1 species